rnacentral:sRNA from 1 species
UUAGCUUCCCUAAACCCUAAACCCUAAACCCUCAACCCUAAAUCCUCAACCCUAACCCUAAACCCUAAACUUUAAAAUCUAA